rnacentral:rRNA from 1 species
AGGGCAAGUUUGGUGCCCGCCGNCGCGGUAAUUCCAGCUUCCAAAGGGUAUUUUAAAGUUGUUGCNGUUAAAAANNUUGUAGUUGAAAUUUGGGGUUUGUAGGUUGGUUGUGCCUCAGGUAUGUACUGAUCUCAANGAUUCCUCCUUCCUGNUGAACUGUAAUGCCAUUAAUUUGGUGUUGUGGGGAAACUGGACUGUUACUUUGAAAAAAUUAGAGUGUUUAAAGCAGGCUAACGCUUGAAUACAUUAGCAUGGAAUAAUGAAAUAGGACGUUCGAUCCUAUUUUGUUGGUUUCUAGGAUUGACGUAAUGAUUAAUAGGGAUAGUUGGGGGCAUUAGUAUUCAAUUGUCAGAGGUGAAAUUCUUGGAUUUAUUGAAGACUAACUACUGCGAAAGCAUUUGCCAAGGAUGUUUUCAUUAAUCAAGAACGAAAGUUAGGGGAUCGAAGACGAUCAGAUACCGUCGUAGUCUUAACCAUAAACUAUGCCGACUAGGGAUCGGAUGAUGUUAAUUUUUUAAUGACUCAUUCGGCGCCUUACGGGAA